UAGGUAAUCUUCCGCAAUGGACGAAAGUCUGACGGAGCAACGCCGCGUUAGUGAAGAAGGAUUUCGGUUCGUAAAACUCUGUUGUUAGGGAAGAAAAAAUUUAUAGUAACUAUAUACAAAAGAGACGGUACCUAACCAGAAAGCCACGGCUAAUUACGUGACAGCAGCCGCGGUAAUACGUAGGUGGCAAGCGUUGUCCGGAAUUAUUGGGCGUAAAGCGCACGCCGGUGGUUUAGAAAGUCUGAUGUGAAAGCCCACGGCUCAACCGUGGAGGGUCAUUGGAAACUAAUAAACUUGAGUGCAGGAGAGAAAAGUGGAAUUCCUAGUGUAGCGGUGAACUGCGUAGAGAUUAGGAGGAACCCCGGUGGCGAAAGCGGCUUUUUGGCCUGCAACUGACACUGAGGCGCGAAAGCGUGGGGAGCAAACAGG
rnacentral:rRNA from 1 species